rnacentral:rRNA from 1 species
UACGGAGGGUGCAAGCAUUGAUCGGAAUUACUGGGCGUAAAGGGCGCGUAGGCGGCUGGAUAAGUCAGAUGUGAAAUUCUGGGGCUCAACCCCAGGACGGCAUUUGAAACUGUCUAGCUAGAGUGCAGUUAGGGUAAACGGAAUUCCACGUGUAGCGGUGAAAUGCGUAGAUAUGUGGAAGAACACCAGUGGUGAAGACGGUUUACUGGGCUGUAACAGACGCUGAGGCGCGAAAGCAUGGGGAGCAAACAGG